UGGGGAAUUUUGGACAAUGGGGGAAACCCUGAUCCAGCCAUCCCGCGUGUGCGAUGAAGGCCUUCGGGUUGUAAAGCACUUUUGGCAGGAAAGAAACGUCAUGGGUUAAUACCCCGUGAAACUGACGGUACCUGCAGAAUAAGCACCGGCUAACUACGUGCCAGCAGCCGCGGUAAUACGUAGGGUGCAAGCGUUAAUCGGAAUUACUGGGCGUAAAGCGUGCGCAGGCGGUUCGGAAAGAAAGAUGUGAAAUCCCAGAGCUCAACUUUGGAACUGCAUUUUUAACUACCGGGCUAGAGUGUGUCAGAGGGAGGUGGAAUUCCGCGUGUAGCAGUGAAAUGCGUAGAUAUGCGGAGGAACACCGAUGGCGAAGGCGGCCUCCUGGGAUAACACUGACACUCAUGCACGAAAGCGUGGGGAGCAAACAGG
rnacentral:rRNA from 1 species